AUUCGUCCAAUUGAAGCAGAGGACAGUGGCGGACGGGUGAGUAACGCGUGAGGAACCUGCCUUUCAGAGGGGGACAACAGACGGAAACGACUGCUAAUACCGCAUAAGCGCACAGGAUUGCAUGAUCCAGUGUGAAAAACUCCGGUGGUAUGAGAUGGACCCGCGUCUGAUUAGCCAGUUGGCGGGGUAACGGCCCACCAAAGCGACGAUCAGUAGCCGGACUGAGAGGUUGACCGGCCACAUUGGGACUGAGAUACGGCCCAGACUCC
rnacentral:rRNA from 1 species